CCCUGCCCUUUGUACACACCGCCCGUCGCUACUACCGAUUGAAUGGCUUAGUGAGCCUUUGGGAUUGGCGUCCAGGAGCUGGCAACAGCACCCGGAUGCCGAAAACUUAUGCAAACUUGGUCAUUUAGAGGAAGUAAAAGUCGUAACAAG
rnacentral:rRNA from 1 species